UGGACACCGUUUCAGAUCUAAUCAGCAAAGAGCCAGGGGAGGUGUUUCCACAGCUGUAUCUGAAGUGCAGCUCUCCGUUGGUCAGCUGAGGAGGGAAAACGAGCAAGAAUCCAUCAACGCAUUAGACGGAUAAAUACCUGUAAAGUUCCCCAGUCCUUGGUGCUGGUCGUGGACACGAUGAGGCCCUGCUCCUGGUAAGUCUUGAACCUCAGGGACAGUCUGAAGUCCUGGCUGUCCUCGUCCAUCCUGUGAAGAUACUUCAGGUAGGACUUGCCGUCGAACCUCAGCGCCGACUCUGGAAGACAGAAAUAGAACAACAUCCGACGGUGAAUCAUCCAUAGAUGUAGAGAGGCACAAUUCUGCUCAAUGCAACACGAAUUAAAACAUAAACAGUCAAGUAGAAUACAUGAACACACACAUAAGUUCUGCUAGUUUUGCCUGAAUCUGCCCUUUUGCUCAGUUUAAUUUGAUUUAAAAUCAAAUAUCUUUGGGUUUGGCGUCAUUGUCCGGACAAACCCAGACAUCUGCUUCACUUUGGGCCCUCUGUGCAAAUCAAUUCAUUAAAUGACCGAUGACAGUUUUAAUAAAAACGUGUCUCUGUUAAAUAAACCAAGUAAGUUAAAGACCAGCGCCUCCCUCCACAACCAUAGUUUAUAGUUAUUCAUCUGAGCAGCAUAUAUUGGCCAAUGUUAACCCAUCCAAGUAAAUGCAAAUACACCUAAAUGUUUAAUUUUGAGCUCAAAUUUUCAGCUUAGUCUAUAUGUUGUUCACAAUUAUUAUAAAUAAGAAGGAUUUUUGAAAUUAAAGCAUAGGUAAAAUUAAUAAGUUGACUGUUAAAAGUAAUUGUCAGAAAUAUGGUCUUCUUGAGUAAAUGUUUGACUGGAUACAUCUUUGGGUCUGUCUUUGUCAUCUUGGGAAAAUAUAUAGAUUCAUGUACGUAAAAUAAACCAUUACAGAUACUGAAGACUGUUAGUGUCAACAUGUCUUCCCCCAACACAUCAGAUGACUUUCAGUCUUUGCAAAUUAGUCUUAAUCAAUUCGUCUUAACUAAUUAAAGUCUUCUACAGAGUCUCCAACCACUAGAUCUUUGCUAACUGAGCCUUGAAGGCACUAAAUACCUCCAGAACAAUUCUAACCAAUUCAUUCUUGUGUUUUUUCCAAACUGAUCAUCAGUCCUGAAGACAGCAACGUUACUUUGAGCGAGAUGUGACAGCUUAGUCUUUUAGUCAGAAAAAAAAGGAACAAAAGACCGGAAUAAAGUAAUUUUGCACAGGUUUUGGCAUGGUUAAGAACAAAGGCAGGAAAAGACUGAAUGAAUUCAUGUACGGACAAAAAUUCGAUGAAACUUUAAUAAUGCCCGUGGGGACGUUCCCAAGGUCUGCUGCUUAAAAAAAACUUUCCUCUUCGUUGGUUAGAAACUUUUGUUGAGGUGGAAUCUGAAGCCUCUAACUUUAAUUUGUACAUUCUGCUCCACCAGACCAGUCGUCUUAAAGGCCACCGGAUUAAAACCCUCGCUGGCUGGUUGGACAAACAAUAAGUCUUGUUCGUCAGCCGCCACCGGCAACACAAAUAUUAAAGCAAGAAAACACUAUAAACAAACAAUAAAGAUGAAAACUUAAUGACAAACACAGAAUGUGCUACUUAAUCAAACAUUGCAUGAUAAAAAAGGUCAAAAACUCAAUCACUGUUUGUGUAAUGACUUGUUUGUUUUAGUGGUUGAGAUUGUUGUCAACUUUCUGGGACAGCAACGAAUUAUGUUUUUGUUACAGAUUAAUCUGGUUAUUAUUAUUUUUUUCAAUUACCGAAAUAAAAGUUUAGUCUAUAAAGUUGUAGAAAACUGAUCACUGUGGUUUGGUUUUGUUGGACCAAUUUGAACUCAGCUCACGAUUGGCAGUUUUGCUGAAUAAAUCACUUAACUAAUGAUUAAAAUUGCUGGUGGUUAAUUUCCUGUUGACGAUUUAAUUUAAUGAACUAAUCGACUAGUUGUUUCAGCAUCGACAUAACUGGUCAUUCAAAGCAAUCACUGAAAAGCCAUUUCAGUAUUGGAAGAUUAGAUUUAAAGCACGUUUUAAAGUAAAUACAGACUCUUCUAUAUUCCAUUCAUUCCUUAUUGUUUGAAUUGAGUAUUUCACAGCUCUGUGAAACGAUACGUAGGCAUCAGAGACAUAAAACAGUUGGAUAGCAGAGCUUUGAAGAUACUUGUAUGCUCUGUAAUCUCACUCACGGCUCACAGCUUAUCAACAAACCUUUGAGUCUUUUAAGACUGAAAGGCUAUCGGAUAUAGUCAAAAUACGGUGGCGAUAACACAAUCAAAAGAUUUUCCAGAGGCAAAACUCUAAAUGAGAUAAUGAGCGUCUGUCCUGGUGAGCCCUCAGCUGACUUGACUUCAUUGGGGACCAAACUAAUCCUCGCAGGAAUGCCGACACAAAUCAGCAAAGUCGUUCCAGAUGGCGCCGUUCUUUAGUGGUUAAGAAGUGUUGUCUAGAAUUUAAAAGAUGCUCUGAGUGACUUGAAUGAAGGGAUUUACAGUCUUAGUUCACAGUAUGUAACAGGUAAGAAAAAAAAGGCCCUUUGAUCUCUGAAAAAGACCGAUAUCUUCAUUGAGUUGCCUGAAAAUACAAGUCAGAGCAACAAACCAAGAAAUGGAAGAUGGGUAAAGAUGCUUGAAGCUCCCGUAGAGUUGAGGGGAAACACCAGGAGAGGAUGGUGCUCAUAAGGGCUUCUUCAAAUAUUCACCAACACAAACAGCACAGAGGAUAUUUCCUCACAUCAGUGCCAAUCUAAACUUGUCAAAAAGUAUCAUAAAAUUUUCCAAAUUGACCUAAAUUGACUCAAAAAGAUAUAAAAUGAUGCAAAAGUGACACGAAACGAUGUAAAAUGACGGAAAAAAUAUACAAAACUUUGUUAAAUAUAACUCAAAAACUGCCCAUAAAUGAGUUAAAUUUGUCAAAUUUACUUAAAAUUAAAAUAUUUGAGUCAUCACGGAGAAUCUGAGUCAUUUUUUAAUAUGUUUACUGACAUUUUAUACAAGGUCUAGUCCAGUUUUGAGUCUCUGUUCAUCAGCUGUAGAAAGAUGUUUCACCAUGCUCAAUGUAUCUUCCAAGAACUUGUUGCUCUGUUCACUGUUUUUGAGGCGUGCUGUGUUUAUUCUAUUGAUACACUAUGUUUAAAUGUGCUCCAAGUCUAAAGUUCUCCACCAUCCUUUGAAACUUGUUCAAAAUGAUUUGAGACUUGCCCAAAAUGAUGUAAAAAUUUGACCAAAGUAACAUAAAAUUGUCUAAAUUGCCCAGAAAAUUUGUGGCAAGGAACAAAAAUAUUAAAGCUGACUCAAGAAUUGUCCGAAAUAACUGAAAAACAAAAAAACAAAUAGAACUCUUGCUUAACUAAACCCAACGGCGAGGCUUAAGAUUAUGUCACAAAAUACAGGAUGUUGGGCUGAGACUCGAUGGCCCGAUCCCCAGGCUCAACAGUCAGAGACUUGGAGGUGUAGUCCCAAAGUGAAAGUAAAGAAAAAAAUGAAGUACACAAAGGAAGAUGCAAGUUUUUUUUUGCGCUUUCUUUGAGUGAAUUUACGUACAGACUUGACCAUAGAUCACAGCAAAAUUGGUGAUGUAUAAACACGGCUGUGUCCACAGGUGCAUGAAAAAAAAUCCACCAAGAAGUUAAUCUGUCAGCAUCAACAUCUGGCUGCUCGCUGUUUGGUUGGAGUUAUUAACUGCACUUCUGCGCUGUUUUACAUUUUCAAAUGUCCCCGACAGAAUGGUCAGAUUAUAACGGCUCCCUGAAUUUUCGGUAAUAUGCAUAAACAUCACAAACACAUCAGCUGAUAAAACUGUGAAUAAAACAAGCGCAUGCAAAUAAGACUACUCAUGCAAGACACAUACUACAAUGUUUGCAGCAGAUGCUCAUGACAAAUGACAAACUGACAGUAAAUAUUUCAGCGUUAAACUAGAAUUAAUGCUCAUUUGCAUAAGCAUAGGAUUUAUGGUGUAGAUGAUUUAUGACAGUAUACUGCAGCAAAUAUACAUGCAGUAUCCACAGUGAACAGUAUGAAGUGUGAAAUUGGGUCAGAUGGAAUGAAGUAAAUAGGGAACUGAUACGGACUAAAUGGGAAGAGUCCUGAUUGGAUGAGCGAUGGAAAGCUGGACUGCAGAAAAUGACUUCUAAUAAUGACUUACAACUAUACAGCAGCACCGUGCAGCAAGAAUCAAACUGUUUCUUUUUAUAUUUAGUCCCCUAAUUGCUUCUAUUCCUGCGGGUACUUUCUCUUGUAGUUGCCUGUACCCUAUACAUAUGUUGAAAGAACAACGUGAAAAGCUUAAUUUUCCUCCAUUCUGGCAGAAUAAACAAAGCGUUUUAAAUUGGGCUUCACCUCAGUUUUCCUCAGCUACACUUUGUUCUAUACACAGUUGGAUGAGAGUCAGUCGGGGACAGCAUGCACUCUGUACUCUUUGUGGAAGUUGAGAGAGUCGGCUGUAAUUCCUGCCGGUUCACACGUACAGCUUGUUUCUUUUAUUCAACACCAAACUUUGGAACUGGAUCAAUUGUCAGAGCAGCAGCAGCAGCAGCAGCAGCAGAAUCGCCGGCUGCAGACUCGUCCUGCUCGAGCUCUGUGACAGUGAACCUCAGACAUGUCAUUAAACUCACGCACGCACUCGGUCAUUAGCCGAGCUCAGGUACAUUCACUGACAGGCGGACAUACCGUUACAGGGGCAGACGCUCUCCCAGGUGUGCAGCGGGGUGAUGUAACCGGCUCUCGCUGUGGUGAAAUGACUCAGCCUCUCCCCUGACAGCCGAACAGCAUUCCUGCAGCCUCGUGGAGGACAGCCGGUGCCCAGACAGCCGUUGUGGCUCACCCUGAGGAUUCUGAGGCCCAGCGAGUCCUCGAUGUCUGCUAAAAUCCCUGCAUCAAAGAUUUCAACAUCUCAAACUGUGUACAUGCAGCGCCCUCCAUAAUUAUUGGCACCCCUGGUUAAGACGUGUUAAAAGUCUUAAAAUAAAUUCAAUUUUUAUUGCAGAAGCAUACUCUCACACUGAAAAUUGUACAAAAAAUGUAUUAUAUGAGAAGCUUAUGUGCUGUUUUGUUGGCAAAAGGGGGUUGUACGAAAUAAGAACAUUAGGGUUACUAAUAAUUUUGGCACACAUGAUUUGAUGUAAAAGAAUUAUUUCAUAAUGUGUGAUUUUUUUCCCCACUGAAUAAAUGCACUUGAAUUAUC